UACGAAAGGUGCAAGCGUUGUUCGGAAUUACUGGGCGUAAAGCGCACGUAGGCGGCGAUGUAAGUUGGGGGUGAAAUCCCGGGGAUCAACCCCGGAACUGCCUCCAAAACUACAUGGCUCGAGGAUGUGAGAGGUUGGAGGAAUUCCGAGUGUAGAGGUGAAAUUCGUAGAUAUUCGGAAGAACACCGGUGGCGAAGGCGGCCAACUGGCACAUUUCUGACGCUGAGGUGCGAAAGCGUUUGGAGCAAACAGG
rnacentral:rRNA from 1 species